rnacentral:rRNA from 1 species
AAUAUAUCGGAACGUACCCAGAGUGGGGGAUAACGUAGCGAAAGUUACGCUAAUACCGCAUACGAUCUAUGGAUGAAAGUGGGGGAUCGUCAGACCUCGUGCUCCUGGAGCGGCCGAUAUCUGAUUAGCUAGUUGGUGAGGUAAAGGCUCACCAAGGCGACGAUCAGUAGCUGGUCUGAGAGGACGACCAGCCACACUGGAACUGAGACACGGUCCAGACUCCUACGGGAGGCAGCAGUGGGGAAUUUUGGACAAUGGGCGCAAGCCUGAUCCAGCAAUGCCGCGUGAGUGAAGAAGGCCUUCGGGUUGUAAAGCUCUUUUGUCAGGGAAGAAACGGUAGAGGCUAAUAUCCUUUGCUAAUGACGGUACCUGAAGAAUAAGCACCGGCUAACUACGUGCCAGCAGCCGCGGUAAUACGUAGGGUGCAAGCGUUAAUCGGAAUUACUGGGCGUAAAGCGUGCGCAGGCGGUUUUGUAAGUCUGUCGUGAAAUCCCCGGGCUCAACCUGGGAAUUGCGAUGGAGACUGCAAGGCUAGAAUCUGGCAGAGGGGGGUAGAAUUCCACGUGUAGCAGUGAAAUGCGUAUA